AGCAGAAGCUUGGCGCUCGACUCUGGCCGCAGAGGACAAGGAGCUUUGGGCAGAGAAGGGCCUAUGAGUGCAGAGUUCAUCUGCUUGACAGGAGUGAACCGUUGAAACCCACGCUGGUGAUAAGGGAUUACGCAUCUGCCGCGCUCCACUAGCUAGCAAUUGGUGCUUGGACAAAGUGUCACCUUCGCCAAGGUUUCACUUUGUAGCUCUGACUAUCUUGGAGCUCACUCUGUAGAGCAGGCUGGUCUUGAGCUCACAGAGAUCUACCUGACUCUGCAUUCCUAGUGCUAGAACUAAAGAACCCUUGGUCAAGAAAAUGUACUUUGCCAGGAAUGGUGGCACAUGCCUUUAAUCCCAGCAUUCAGAAGGAAGAG
rnacentral:lncRNA from 1 species